CACGUAGGGCGCAAGCGUUGUCCGGAAUUAUUGGGCGUAAAGAGCUCGUAGGCGGUCUGUUACGUCUGCUGUGAAAACCCAGGGCUUAACCCUGGGCUUGCAGUGGAUACGGGCAGACUAGAGGCAGGUAGGGGAGAAUGGAAUUCCCGGUGUAGCGGUGAAAUGCGCAGAUAUCAGGAGGAACACCGGUGGCGAAGGCGGAUCUCUGGGCCUUACCUGACGCUCAGGUGCGAAAGCUAGGGGAGCGAACAGG
rnacentral:rRNA from 1 species